ACGGAAGGCAGCAGUGGGGAAUAUUGCACAAUGGGGGAAACCCUGAUGCAGCAACGCCGCGUGAGUGAUGAAGGUCUUCGGAUUGUAAGGCUCUGUCUUUAGGGACGAUAAUGACGGUACCUAAGGAGGAAGCCACGGCUAACUACGUGCCAGCAGCCGCGGUAAUACGUAGGUGGCAAGCGUUAUCCGGAUUUACUGGGCGUAAAGGGAGCGUAGGCGGAUACUUAAGUGGGAUGUGAAAUACCCGGGCUUAACUUGGGUGCUGCAUUCCAAACUGGGUAUCUAGAGUGCAGGAGAGGAGAAUGGAAUUCCUAGUGUAGCGGUGAAAUGCGUAGAGAUUAGGAAGAACACCAGUGGCGAAGGCGAUUCUCUGGACUGUAACUGACGCUGAGGCUCGAAAGCGUGGGGAGCAAACAGGAUUAGAUACCCUGGUA
rnacentral:rRNA from 1 species